AAGACGACGCCACGCCAGAGCCCCUAGGAGCCAGAGACAGCAGGCUGUCCGAUGUCACAGCCAAGGAGAAGCUUCCGGAACACCGAGGGCCAGGGCUUGCCUCCGCAGCGGGUCAGGAGCGAACGAUGUUUGCGGUUCGCAGCGUCCAAGGGAGAGGAGCAGGAGUGAAGAAGGCGCACGGAAUGCCCUUGUGUCCAGAGCAGAGAGGCCGGAGCGGAGACUGAAGUCACCGGAGGCCCCUGGAGCCCGACCCGCUUUAUUUCAGAGGCCCCUCCUGUCUCGCCCGAGGCUCGUGUGACCUCAGGGCUGAGCUCACGCUCGUCUGCAGACCUGGUCAGAGGCCUGAAAGGAGGCGGCGGCGGGGAGGACACGUGUCACCAGCCCUGCAGCCCGGAGCACCUCGGCCUCACCCCAACGUGAGCACACCUCAUUUACACAGCCCGCCGCCGACAGAAAUGUUCCUGCAACCACACUCCUAAUUCCCCCAUUGUGUCGUAACUGUGGGGUUGUACUUCAUAGCGGUGACAUCUUAGCCUAGAAAUAUGAUAAUAUCCUGCGUGUAAACGCUGUUUUUAUUUUCAAAACA